GUUUUCUCCAUCCCCAUCCGUAGAUUUCCCCCUUCUUGGAAGAUCUAUAAGCAUGUUAGAUACUUGAGAUUCUUUUGUUUGAAUUGCUUCUCUCAAGGCUUUCUUAAGCUCCUCGCAAUAAGUUUCUAAGUACUCCAUUUUUUGCUUCAACUCUCCUAAAGAAGACUUCAUUUCCGCGACUUCCAUCAAGGCUGCCUCUCUGCUUU
rnacentral:misc_RNA from 1 species